rnacentral:snRNA from 1 species
AGCUGCGCAGUGGGCACAGAGCGAACUAUUCUUUCGCCUUUUACUAAAGAAUACCGUGUGCUCGCUGCAAAUAGCAGCAUUAAGCAUGCUCAAAUAAAUUUGAAACAAAUUCAAGGCCAUGUUUGUU